AAUCAACGCUGGCGGCGUGCCUCAGACAUGCAAGUCGAACGAUUAAGACUUCCUUCGGGAAGUGAAUAGAGUGGCGCACGGGUGAGUAACACGUAAGUAAUCUACCUUCGAGUGGGGAAUAACGUCCGGAAACGGACGCUAAUACCGCAUAAUGCAGCGGCACCUAAUGGUGACAGUUGUUAAAGAUUUAUUCGCUUGAAGAGGAGCUUGCGGCAGAUUAGCUAGUUGGAAGGUAACGGCUUACCAAGGCAACGAUCUGUAACCGGUCUAAGAGGACGGUCGGUCACACUGACACUGAAUAACGGGUCAGACUCCUACGGGAGGCAGCAGUCGGGAAUUUUGGGCAAUGGGCGAAAGCCUGACCCAGCAACGCCGCGUGAAGGAUGAAGUAUUUCGGUAUGUAAACUUCGAAGAAUGGGAAGAAUAAAUGACGGUACCAUUUAUAAGGUCCGGCUAACUACGUGCCAGCAGCCGCCGCCGUAAG
rnacentral:rRNA from 1 species